rnacentral:rRNA from 1 species
UACGUAGGGGGCAAGCGUUGUCCGGAUUUAUUGGGCGUAAAGAGCGUGUAGGCGGUCAGGUAGGUCCGUUGUGAAAACCCGAGGCUCAACCUCGGACUUGCAGUGGGUACGGGCAGACUAGAGUGUGGUAGGGGAGACUGGAAUUCCUGGUGUAGCGGUGGAAUGCGCAGAUAUCAGGAGGAACACCGAUGGCGAAGGCGGUUCUC